rnacentral:sRNA from 1 species
GAGGCCGGAGGUCAACGCCCGGCAGCGCGAUGCGCCCCCGGGCGAGUUCGUC